rnacentral:rRNA from 1 species
CGGGACGGGUGAGUAAUGCUUGGGAACUUGCCUUUGCGAGGGGGAUAACAGUUGGAAACGACUGCUAAUACCGCAUAAUGUCUUCGGACCAAACGGGGCUUCGGCUCCGGCGCAAAGAGAGGCCCAAGUGAGAUUAGCUAGUUGGUAAGGUAACGGCUUACCAAGGCGACGAUCUCUAGCUGUUCUGAGAGGAAGAUCAGCCACACUGGGACUGAGACACGGCCCAGACUCCUACGGGAGGCAGCAGUGGGGAAUAUUGCACAAUGGGGGAAACCCUGAUGCAGCCAUGCCGCGUGUGUGAAGAAGGCCUUCGGGUUGUAAAGCACUUUCAGUUGUGAGGAAAAGUUAGUAGUUAAUACCUGCUAGCCGUGACGUUAACAACAGAAGAAGCACCGGCUAACUCCGUGCCAGCAGCCGCGGUAAUACGGAGGGUGCGAGCGUUAAUCGGAAUUACUGGGCGUAAAGCGCACGCAGGCGGUUUGUUAAGCUAGAUGUGAAAGCCCCGGGCUCAACCUGGGAUGGUCAUUUAGAACUGGCAGACUAGAGUCUUGGAGAGGGGAGUGGAAUUCCAGGUGUAGCGGUGAAAUGCGUAGAUAUCUGGAGGAACAUCAGUGGCGAAGGCGACUCCCUGGCCAAAGACUGACGCUCAUGUGCGAAAGUGUGGGUAGCGAACAGGAUUAGAUACCCUGGUAGUCCACACCGUAAACGCUGUCUACUAGCUGUGUGUGUCUUUAAGACGUGCGUAGCGAAGCUAACGCGCUAAGUAGACCGCCUGGGGAGUACGGCCGCAAGGUUAAAACUCAAAUGAAUUGACGGGGGCCCGCACAAGCGGUGGAGCAUGUGGUUUAAUUCGAUGCAACGCGAAGAACCUUACCUACACUUGACAUGCUGAGAAGUUACUAGAGAUAGUUUCGUGCCUUCGGGAACUCAGACACAGUG